GGGCGCGUAGCUCAGCCGGUUAGAGCGCUACACUCACAUUGUAGAGGUCAGGGGUUCGAGUCCCUUCGCGCCCA
rnacentral:tRNA from 1 species